rnacentral:rRNA from 1 species
AGCGAACAUUGGCGGUAGGCUUAACACAUGCAAGUCGAGCGAGGCGUAAUAGUCGAGCGGCGAACGGGUGCGUAAUACAUGGGAAUCUACCUCGAAGUGGGGGAUAACGUUCAGAAAUGGACGCUAAUACCGCAUAAUCCAUAUUGGGAAAGCGUUGAAGCGCUUUGAGAUAAGCCCAUGGCUGAUUAGCUAGUUGGUGAGGUAAUGGCUAACCAAGGCGACGAUCAGUAGCUGGUCUGAGAGGAUGACCAGCCACACUGGAACUGAGACACGGUCCAGACUCCUACGGGAGGCAGCAGUGGGGAAUCUUGCGCAAUGGGGGCAACCCUGACGCAGCCAUACCGCGUGAGUGAUGAAGGUCUUCGGAUUGUAAAGCUCUUUCGGCGGGGACGACGAUGACGGUACCCGCAAAAGAAGUCACGGCUAACUUCGUGCCAGCCGCCGCCGUAA